AUUGAACGCUGGCGGCAGGCCUAACACAUGCAAGUCGAGCGGAUGACAGGAGCUUGCUCCUGAAUUCAGCGGCGGACGGGUGAGUAAUGCCUAGGAAUCUGCCUGGUAGUGGGGGACAACGUUUCGAAAGGAACGCUAAUACCGCAUACGUCCUACGGGAGAAAGCAGGGGACCUUCGGGCCUUGCGCUAUCAGAUGAGCCUAGGUCGGAUUAGCUAGUUGGUGAGGUAAUGGCUCACCAAGGCGACGAUCCGUAACUGGUCUGAGAGGAUGAUCAGUCACACUGGAACUGAGACACGGUCCAGAC
rnacentral:rRNA from 1 species